rnacentral:rRNA from 1 species
ACGUAAGGUGCGAGCGUUAAUCGGAAUUACUGGGCGUAAAGCGUGCGUAGGCGGCUCUAUAAGACAGAUGUGAAAUCCCCGGGCUUAACCUGGGAACUGCGUUUGAAACUGUAGGGCUAGAGUGCGGCAGAGGGAGGUGGAAUUCCAGGUGUAGCGGCGAAAUGCGUAGAGAUCGGGAGGAACACCGAUGGCGAAGGCAGCCUCCUGGACUGACAUUGACGCUGAUGUGCGAAAGCGUGGGGAGCAAACAG